UAUAGGGAUAGAUGGUGAUGGCCAUCGAAGAAGAUCAUUUUGCAUAAAAUGAAUUAGAGUGGUACCGCGGGUUCAACCCCGCCUCUAUAC
rnacentral:tRNA from 1 species